GUGUCAGCAGCCGCGGUAAUACAGAGGUCCCGAGCGUUGUUCGGAUUCACUGGGCGUAAAGGGUGCGUAGGCGGUUCUGAAAGUCUGAUGUGAAAUCUCCAGGCCCAACCUGGAAAUGGCAUUAGAAACUACAGGGCUAGAGGCUUGGAGGGGGAACUGGAAUGCUCGGUGUAGCAGUGAAAUGCGUAGAGAUCGAGCGGAACACCAGUGGCGAAGGCGAGUUCCUGGACAAGUCCUGACGCUGAGGCACGAAAGCCAGGGGAGCAAACAGGAUUAGAAACCCCCGUAGUCC
rnacentral:rRNA from 1 species